rnacentral:rRNA from 1 species
AAAUGAAUAGACGGGGGCCCGCACAAGCAGUGGAGUAUGUGGUUUAAUUCGAAGCAACGCGAAGAACCUUACCAGGUCUUGACAUCCGACUAACGAGGCAGAGAUGCGUCAGGUGCCCUUCGGGGAAAGUCGAGACAGGUGGUGCAUGGUUGUCGUCAGCUCGUGUCGUGAGAUGUUGGGUUAAGUCCCGCAACGAGCGCAACCCUUGCCAUUAGUUGCUACGUAAGAGCACUCUAAUGGGACUGCCGUUGACAAAACGGAGGAAGGUGGGGAUGACGUCAAAUCAUCAUGCCCCUUAUGACCUGGGCAACACACGUACUACAAUGGCCGCUAACAGAGGGAGGCAAUACCGCGAGGUGGAGCAAACCCCCAAAAGCGGUCUCAGUUCGGAUUGCAGGCUGAAACCCGCCUGUAUGAAGUCGGAAUUGCUAGUAAUCGCGGAUCAGCAUGCCGCGGUGAAUACGUUCCCGGGCCUUGUACACACCGCCCGU